ACCUGAGACAGGCUGUCGAAUGCCCCUUCCCCACUGUGCAUCCAUGUAACUGCUCCCAACCAUCUCGCAGUGUAAAAAGAGGUCCGCGGAGCUGGCAGACGCGGUCAAAGAACAGGAAAAAAUCCGCAAGUCACUGAGAGAAGAGGUGGAGCUGGAGAUGAAGAAACAUCACACAGCUCAAGAGAGCAUCAAAAGGCGUGUUGCCCCGAAGGAGGUGAGAUGCCGGAAGGAGCACAUAAGCUCCCUAAUGUAUGAAACUGUGGCUGCACGACUGGACGAGCAGACGGCAGCACAGAGGCGCCCACUCACUACCUGGCUGCGGCGAUUUCUGCUGUUCUUGGGCCUGCUGCAGCUUGUGUUCUUCAUCCUGGUCAUGCUGGACAGGGACACCCUCCACUGCGUCUUGCCUGUGGAGCUGGCAACUGCCCUUGGCAGCCGUCCACCAAAACCCAUUCUAUUCUGACCCCAGAACACACCAUGAUGGCCCUUCAUCAUGGCACCACUGGGGCCACACAAGCAUUAAAUGCAUCCCCCUUGUCACCAAAAACAUCAAUAAAAUCAACCCCAACCCCUAUAAAUGUGUCAUCUCUGCAUGAUUCUGUGAAACCCCAUUGACAAAUGUCUCCUGAACCACAGGAAGGAGACAGUGGGAUUCUGGAGCUUAGGAAUAGGAACCAGAGAUUCAGUGAGGGUGGAAAAGGCCUCCAAGAGGCCCCACCAUCCACCUACCACCAAUAUGUCCCACUAAACCAUGCCCCCGGGUACAACAUCCAAUGUUUCUUGAACAUGACCAGCGUGUCCAUCACCUCCUCAGGCAGCCCAUUCCAGCACCUGUCCAUUCCCUUAGAGAAGAAGCAUUUCCUAACAGCCGCAGACUACACCAGUGGUAAGAAAAUAUCUGAGGAAGGCUUUCUCAGAAUUCUGACUGCAAAACCGAGCACCUUCACAUUACCUUGCUGACUUGCAGUGAGGAAUUCUGUGGGCCCUCAUUAAUCCCUGAAAGCCCAAAUGACAUCUUGCCACUUCUCCAUGCAAGCUAAUAGGAAAAGGCAAACCUGCCCAAACGACCAAAGCGUUCAAUUGAACACAAAGAGGGAAACAGGAUUUUGGAGGUAGAGUUAGUUUAUUUCUUCAAGUCUUAAACUAAUUUCACAAGGCUGAUAACCAACGAGUUGGAGGCUCACUCCCUUCUCCAAAGGCAUAGGUAUGACAUUCGGAAAGCAGAGCGUCCUGGNGAAGGAGACAGUGGGAUUCUGGAGCUUAGGAAUAGGAACCAGAGAUUCAGUGAGGGUGGAAAAGACCUCCAAGAGGCCCCACCAUCCACCUACCACCAAUAUGUCCCACUAAACCAUGCCCCCGGGUACAACAUCCAAUGUUUCUUGAACACGACCAGCGUUGGUGACUCCAUCACCUCCUCAGGCAGCCCAUUCCAGCACCGAAACGAAAUUUCCCUGACCGCAUGGGAAGUUUUCUGUUCAACUCCCAAUAUUCCAUCGCCCAGGAAUUCAAAGCACAAACAGCAAUGUGCAGAUGCUGUUGCACCAGGCAGUAUGUAUACACACAGCCCUACAGUAAACUAGUCCUCAGAGGUUUCUA
ensembl:lncRNA